CUCGGGGUCCGUCAAGACUUUCUGGCUCAUGGCCAUCGGCACCACCUUGGGGUUCACGGAGUUUACCCGGUUCCAGGGCCCAGGGGUCGAAGUGGGCCUCAGCAGGGAUCUGCUGCCCUCCUCACCACAACCUGAAGGUGCUGGCCAAAAAUUCCACCCUGAGUUUUGGAAAAGGAAAUAAAAAUAAACCCUGGA